rnacentral:rRNA from 1 species
AGUAACACGUGGAUAACCUACCUAUAAGGCUGGGAUAACUUCGGGAAACCGGAGCUAAUACCGGAUAAUAUUUUGAACCGCAUGGUUCAAAAGUGAAAGACGGUCUUGCUGUCACUUAUAGAUGGAUCCGCGCUGCAUUAGCUAGUUGGUAAGGUAACGGCUCACCAAGGCAACGAUGCAUAGCCGACCUGAGAGGGUGAUCGGCCACACUGGAACUGAGACACGGUCCAG